GGCUGGUCCCAAAGGUAGUGAGUUAUCUCAAUUGAUUGCUCACAGUCAGUUAUAGAUCAAACUCCUUGUUCUAUUCGUUCCCCUCUUCUCACUACUGCACUUGACUAACACUUUU
rnacentral:Y_RNA from 1 species